rnacentral:rRNA from 1 species
UACGGAGGGGGCCAGCGUUGUCCGGAUUUAUUGGGCGUAAAGCGCGUGCAGGUGGUUGGUUAAGGCCGAUGUGAAAUCUCCCGGCUCACCUGGGAGGGUGCGUUGGCGACUGGCCGACUGGAGGCAGGUAGAGGCCGGUGGAAUUCCCGGUGUAGUGGUGAAAUGCGUAGAUAUCGGGAGGAACACCAGUGGCGAAAGCGGCCGGCUGGGCCUGUCCUGACGCUGAGACGCGAAAGCGUGGGGAGCGAACCGG